AAUGCUCUAGUGGUUAGGAGCCGGCGCUCUCACUGCCGCGGCCUGGGUUCGAUUCCCGGUU
rfam:Colinus virginianus strain Texas jcf7180006226299, whole genome shotgun sequence.